rnacentral:snRNA from 1 species
GUGCUUGCUUUGGCAUCACAUAUACUAAUAUUGGAAUGAUAAAAAGAGUAUUAGCAUACCCCCUUCACUAGGAUGACACACAAAUUCGGGAAACAUUUUUUU